UUCAAACUAUGAACUAUUAGGGUCCAAAUACACAAAUAAAAAGUGAACCAAAGACUAAUAAAAGUGGGUUUAACAAAUUAUGACCCCUCUAAGACCUGCUGUCUGAACGUAGUCUAACAAGCUUUACUUUUAGAUACCUCAGUUACAUAAUAGCCACGGACAUUUGUACAAGCAGUGACGAGGAACACUGAAUAGAGCGAUUCCGUACGAUGAUAAAACCCUUUACGAAUAAUCGCCGCGAAAUGUUCAAUACAAGCCCGAAGAAUCGGCUAAAACGGCUAAUGGUCAAAUGUGGUGUUGGUUUUAAGUAUAAAAACCGGCCUAUUGAUAAAAACGACAGUAAUAUUUGAAAAUAGUGAACUGAUCUGGGUCCAGUGAAGACCUCUACUGCCUUACGUCAACUGUCAGAUCCAGAUGAAGCCGACAGUUCAAAUGCUCCUUGUGUGUUGUUGUUGUUCACUGCCAUUCAGCUGAGGUGUGUCCUCGCACUCGGCUUCCCCACGGAUAAACAGAUGGCGGCGGGCUAAUUAGCACGAGCUAACUGAUGAAACCGAUAAAGACCCACUUAACACUGACAGAUUCAGCCUUGGUGGCGGGAGACGAAAAGAAAAAGCGACAGUUUGGAGUUUCCUUAAGUAAUCCAAACAUCUUACUGGGGUUGGGAGAAGAAAUACCUCUGAGUUGAAUUCUGCUGCAGAUGUGACGGAUUGAUGCUGAUCCUGCAGUUACUCUUCAUUAUGGUUUUUAGCACUUAAAUACACAGCUCUGUACUGUGGCUACACGUUAACGUCAAUGCAAACUACCUGUUAGCCAAGAGGGCUAUGAUGGGGGGGUUUGACAAUAGAAACAUGAUGUCCUAGAGCUGGAAGCCUCCGUAAAGCACCACAACUAGGACUAUGUAACAGGAGAUAGAGAGUCACGACCCGAUCCGGACCACAAACCGGACCUGUUCUGCACACGUGGAGGUGCUACUCCCCGUCACCAGAAUCUGAAGUUAUGUCAGUUUUUUGGGAUUUGAAGGAAAAAAAUAUACAUGCUUUAUCUUUGAUUUUGAUAGUUUUGAAAUAUAAGAUUCAUUUUUUUAAACAAAUGCAUACACUUUUUCCAAGUUUACUGACAGUAGCUAGUGAGCUAAGUUUCGCUAACAUUUGUUAGUAAAUUAAUGGCUGCCAUUAAUUCACACGAGUUAUUUUAAAAACCUAAAAGAUUCAUGGCUCUUGCUACAAAAGGUUCAUGGACCCCACUCUGAUUUGAAAUAUAAAGGUGUUUUUUUUAUUGUAUCAUUAGCCUCAUUUUCUUUACAAAAAACACCUUAAAAAGAUUUUGAUGCCUAUACACCACUUGAAGAUAAAAAUUAAUCAAAUCUAUAACACUUAAGCAUUGAACAGAUUAAUUCACACCAAUUAAUUUAAAAACCUAAAUUAUUUAUGGCUUUUGCUAGAAAAGGUUCAUGGACCCCAUUCAUUUAAAAUAUAAAGUUUUUUUUUUAUUGUAUCAUCCUCAUUUUCUUUACAAAACACUUUAGAAAAAGACUAUUUUGAUGCUUAUAACACCAGUAGAAGAUAAAAUUAAUCAAAUCUAUAACACGUAAGCAUUGAACAGAUUGGUAAUUCACAUCAAUUACUUUAAAAAUCUAAAUUAUUUAUGGUUUUUGCUAGAAAAGGUUCAUGGGUCCCACUGAUCUAAAAUUUUUUUUUUUUUUUUAAAGUUAUAUCAUUAGCUUAAUUUUCUUUACAAACGAAAACACCAAAAAAAAAAAAGAUUAUUUUGAUGUUUAUACACCAGCAGAAGAUAAAAUUAAUCAAAUCUGUAACACUUAAGCAUUGAACAGAUUGAUUUUAGUAGUUUCAAAAUAGAGAAUUACAUUUUUUCAACAGUCCUUGAGCUAAAUUUAAAUAAUGUUUGAUAUUAGGCUAACAGCAGCUAACAUUAGCAGAACUAGCAUGACGCAGUUAGGGUGCUAGCUAUUGUUAACUACUUUAGAAACAUUUAGUAAAAACAGUCUUUAAUUUCAUUACUAUUAAAACCAAACGUGUAUAUUUCUUUUCUUUAAGUCUAAAUACUGAUGACGGGGAGAAAUAUUUUGGCAGAUACGUUGUAGAGAACAGUUAGCGGUGCGGUUCAGGUAGCGACGUAGAGCUAACCAGCGUUCUCUAAUCACCUCCUGUGUCAGAGGUCAGAGGUCAGGGUAGGAGGGACGUCAAGGAGCAUCUGAAUGGAAUUCUUCAUUUCAGUGUCUGUUUUUUCCUCCAUGAUGAUUAAUAUCCUCAACACAAACUCUUAUCCUCGCCGGCGGUCUGCAGUAGAGUGAUGGGGGGGGUGGGGUGGGGGGGUCCCAAUGUCUGAGCCCAUGGAAACUAAUGCAACACAUUUCUGGAUGCAGUGUGACUUAAAUGUACUCGAUUAAAGUAUUUGGGCCAUACUUUAGAUUUUUUUUUUUAUGUUUAGCCUUGUAUAGAUUUACAUGAAUUUAUGUAGAAAUGAAAGGAGAAAAAAAUGAACAGAUGAGUUGUUACAUAAGAGGCACUAACUGGGCUGUUGUAAAUAAAUGGUUUGUUUCCAUAUGACCAGUAGUGACCGGACAUUCAGCAGCUUGUCAAAAUUCAUUUCAAUCUGUACAACGGUGAAGAGGAAGUGGAACCCCGCGCCCUCGUCCGAUCAGGCGGCAGCCGGCGAGGUCCCCUCUGUAUCUGUUCUAGUGGUUUUCUGUUUCAAUGUUUUUAUGCUACACACUACAAUAAAGUGUUCCCCUUGUUGAUAUACCCCUCCCCACCUGACAAUAAUGUAUCAAAUCUUUAAAUAUUAUCAUGUUAAGAGUAUACUUUAUGCAAAUAUAUAUGAGUAUGAUGAGUGUAUUGUAUGUAUCAGCAGUGAAAUAUUUUUAAAAUAAAAUUAUUUGUUUCUGUCA